AGCAAGAUUGCUGGAUUGUAUGGUAAGAAUAUGUGUAAUUUUGUUAGAAACUGACAAACUGUUUUCCAAAAUGGCUGUACCAUUUUUUUAUUUCCACCAGCAAU
rnacentral:pre_miRNA from 1 species